GUUAAUUCCUGGGCUGGCUCCCUCUCUGCAGGGUUGCUGUGUGCUGUCUGCCCCUCAAGGACCCAAGGCCUAGCUCCUGGCAGGCUCUCACGUCGUAGGCCUCUCUCUCCUUGUUCUGGGCCCCAAUUCACCACCCAUCCUGUACCUGUCAUCUGAACUGACACCCAUCUGGACCAUUAGGUCAGAGAGGCCCAUUAUUCAGAAACGGAUCAAGUCUCUCCAAAACCGCUGUCUCCUUCUCUGCAUCGUGAGGGAGUGGAGGAGCGCAGGGACCGGCAGCGACACCAUCCCUCUGCAUAAGAGGUUCCGUUUCCGUCCAGUGUCCUUCUCGGACCUGCAAGCCAGGCGGCCAGGGGUGUGUGGUGGGGUCGCCCCAACGCAGACGUGAUCGAUGCAUUUGAGGAAGAGAGGCAGGCAUGGUUACGAGGCAACAGUGUGAAAGUGUCACCCCAGUAAGUGCAGUAGAAAGGGAAACUGAAGAGCAACAAAACAGCAGCGGUGUGGCGCUGGGACGACCAUGCUCACGCGGCAGCUGCAGACAUUCUCACGCAACCCCCGGUGGAGGCACCUGAAGCCACUCACAGGAAGCGGUGCAGACGUUUAGGCACCUGCUCCCCGCUCACCGCGGGCAGACCAUGAACACCCGUGUUGCCCGGCC